rnacentral:rRNA from 1 species
UACGGAGGGUGCAAGCGUUAAUCGGAAUUACUGGGCGUAAAGCGCGCGUAGGCGGCUAAGUCAGUCGGAUGUGAAAUCCCUGGGCUCAACCUGGGAACUGCAUACGAUACUGCUUGACUAGAGUGUGGGAGAGGGUGGUGGAAUUCCCGGUGUAGCGGUGAAAUGCGUAGAUAUCGGGAGGAACAUCAGUGGCGAAGGCGACCGCCUGGCCCAACACUGACGCUGAGGUGCGAAAGCGUGGGUAGCAAACAGG